rnacentral:RNase_P_RNA from 1 species
AAGACUGUCGCGGGUCGGGAAAGCCGGCGCGAGGAAAGUCGGGACAGCACAGAGCACCGUACUUCCUAACGGGAAGGUGUCCGCAAGGGCAACAGCAAGUGCCGCAGAAAAUAUACCGCCCCACAAGGGUAAGGGUGAAAACGCGAGGCAAGAGCUCACGCGACGGGUGGUGACACUCCGCCGAGGUAAACCUUACGGGCUGCAAGUCCAAGUAUAGAGGCAAGGGCCGCUUCGGCGGCCGAACGGGCUGCUCGUCCGUCGCCUCAGGGUAGGGCGCUUGAGCCUGUGGGUGACCGCAGGUCUAGAGAAAUGACAGUCGCCCCGAAAGGGGAACAGAAUCCCGCUUACCACUCUC